CAGGCUACAUUGACUGGGCUAUAGCUCCCAUGUGUCAUUUUGCAACUCUUGUCCUGAUUUUCUAGGUAUAUGUGGGACUCUUCUAAACCUUUGUAUUCUGGGAAGGAAGAUAAACUACAGAACUGGACCAGUAAGGGAGUUGCAACUCUGCCAUGAGCAGGAUGCUGCUUGUGAAAUUAUGAAGCCACUUCUACGAGUGUGAGCUCUAGAGUCUAAGUGCCAUUGGGAGUAGGACCAAACUGGAAAACUUCUUGAGACUUGUAAGAGGAAUGGGAAGCAGUCAUAUUUUUCAAAUCCUCAGAGGCUCAGAGAAAGAAUGCAAGUUCCAACAAGGAGGAUUUUGUUCCCUAAGUCCUGACGUUUUACAGCAUCUGCAAGGCUUUGGAGAUGAACAGGGGAUUCGUGAAAAAGGAGUUUGUCUUCCGGAAGACCCAAUUUUACUGGACAUAAAAAGCUUCUUGAAAGAGCUUAAAAAACACAAUACAGUGACUCCUGGUGAAUCUGAUGCAGAUUUACAACAGCACACUUUAUGGUAUUCUGCAUAUUUUCAGUAGUUAAAACACUAGGUAGUCAUUGUCAGCUGCUUGGUUUCAUACUCUGGUUCUGUCUGACGUGAGCUUGGAGGUGAUCUUGGCCUAUCAAAUAAGGUCAUUGUGAAGAUAAAAUAGAAAAUCUUACAAAGAUUUAAAGUACCACCUGGCAUUUAAAGUACUCUGUGAUGUUGGCUAGAAUUGUUUUGCUGAUUUUGUUGUUGCAAUUUCAGUUAGUAACCUGAUCUUCAAAUUAUCUUAAUAACUACAGGGGAAUAUAUUGUAAAGGAUCAGUGGUAUCUGUGGGACCCACAAUAUCAGAGUACAGUCACACACCAUUGAUGAAAUACUAAAAUCAGGUCCUGGAAAUCUACCAAAGGGGCCUCUGUCUUAAUCAUUCAUGGAAACCACAGAGCUUCUCAACUCUAUUUCUCUCUAUACACCUCUCUUUGUUGACUAUCUAUUUCCUCCAAAGCAUGGUAAAUCAUGGUAGGACAUACUUUUUGAAUUUACAUUAAUUCUACCUGUAAGAAACUAACAAGCCCCAUUCAGUCCCAUUUUCAUAUUCCUAGAAGAUUAUAAUUGAUUCUUUUUAGGACUGUUGAUUACCUACCAUUGGCUCAAUUGGCUGUGAAGUGGUAUGCAGGCUCUUUAGUGCAAACAACUUCUAGAAUCCAACUGCAUGUAUGGGGGUGAUUCUAAAAUAGGAAAAGCUGUGAGCAAGUUGGGCAAGUACCCUUAAAAGUAUCUGCCACAAAGAGUUUCCAAUAUUGCCACAGUUAGGAGUAAUUCAAGAUUCCUAUAAAAUGUACUGUGAGCUCUGUUCAAAGAAUUUUCUGGUAUACAACACAAUUAUUAUUUGGAUAUUGCUGGAUUUCUGAAAGUUAAUAUUGAAUGGCUUAUCAUUGGACAAUAUCUAAGCCAAGUGGUCAUAGGGAAAAUUGUGAAGGAAACAAAUUUAUCAUUAGUGGUCUAUCUUCCCUUUAUGAAGUUUUCUGUGCCUAUUUUUUUUUUUUUCUGAUGAGUCACAUUCUCAUUUGCCUCUUUUAGAGAAAAGGGGUAACACUUGGCUUGUAUCGUAAUGUGUUGCCCUCAGUAAUAUUUAUAUUUGGAAGUACUGCAGAUUAGGAGUAUAAACCCUAACAAAAAGAAAUGAGUCAACAAUAAUGGCAAAUUCAGGCAACCGUGGGAAAGCUAUUUAGAGUACUGAGUCUUUUUGGUACCCCUCAAAUGAUGCUGAGGAGAUAAACUACUGAGUACUAUGUUUCUGGUUAGCUCUGCCUAUUAGUGGAAUUCAGUUUAUUUACAGAGGGCAGGCGGUUUGUGGUUGAACCCAAUCAUUGAGUCAUAGCAAUAACUAAAGGUUACAUCCUUAGUAUAGCAUGGAUCUUUGCCAUAUACCUGACCUGCAUGUGAACUUCAAUUUUGGCAUGGAACCAGGCUGUUAUGGUCACAGAACAAAGCCUAUCAAUUCUGGUGUGACUGCCCUUUCACAGUUUCCUCUGGAGCAGCAAUCUCUGGAAAUAAAUGGAGUAGACAACUCA
rnacentral:lncRNA from 12 species